UCAGGCUGUGAUCUCAUUCCUACCAGUGCUGGGGAUAGGAGUCCCAGGGGCUUCACUGCAAAUUAGAUCCCCUGGAAAGAGACAGAGAGCCAGAACGGAUCCGACCUUGCUGCCGUUCCUGGGAGCGAACUCCUAUUCUUCCGUGCCCUCCCUGCCUUGCCUCUGACAACUUUUCCAAGUCAAGAAGAAAUUGGCCAGCAGCUGAAUAAAAGAAAAUGAAGUUCCCUUAAUACAAUCCAUGGAAAGACAACUCAGGUGAAGAAGAUGUGGAAAAUAGACCAUACAUGGAAAUCUGUGAAUCCUAUGCUGGCAUCUGCAUAAAGGAUCAUUUUCUGGGCGGGCCUGUUACAUCAUUUCCAUGAUCUGCUCUCACUUUCCACUGCAAUGGCUGCAUGGGAAAUGCAUCUGCUUCUACAACUGAGCUUUAAAGAGCACAAGUCCUCUUCUGCUACAAGGAACCUGUAAAGAGCAACAGCAAUUAAGGAGGGAGGAAAGAAGCUGAAACAGUAAUUCCAAAUGGUUUUCUCCUCAGGACUUCUGGAUCCCACCACUGACUUUCCAGCAGCCAGGCCAAGGCAGGUGAAUCCCUCUGUGCCCUGGUUUAUCCAUCUGUAACAUAAACAUGGUCAGCUUUACCUGCUCCACCACUUUGUCACGUGGUGCACCCAAGAAAUAUCUGUGAAUUGCUGUAAGAUUCUGAGACCAAGGGAAGGCUGGAAGUGCCAAGUGUUGUUGUUGUUAUUGUAUUAACAAUGUUGGCUGUUUUCACUGUUCAUAUGGUAGCCUGGCUGGAAUUGGGCAGGAAGCCCAAUAAUACCAACAACCAACAAGAAACUAAAAUAAAAUGUUUUACUUAAUGAGAGCCUCUGUUUAAUCAGAAGCCUGUGUAAUUAUGUCACAGAGGGCUAAGGAUCUAAUGUUUUCCUAAUACAUUUGCUUUUAAAGGGACGAUUAACCCAGCAUAUUUCAAGAUGAUAAGCUGCUUCUUUGUUCAGUUCCAGUUAUUUUUUUUUCUGCAUUCCCUGGUGAGUCCAGAGAGAACCUGAGAGUCAGAGGAUUUUUCUUAAUUGCGCCAUAACUAUCUUGUAUGUCUGAUGCUGGAGCAUUUUCUAAAGACACAGGUUAUUAGUCCUGGGUUGGAUGGGUUUGCAAGAGAAUUCAGAUGCUGAAUUUAUUCUGGUUUGGCUCCUCUGAGGCAUGGCAUACAUUACAGAAAGCCCUCAGUAUUCCUGCCUAAAACAGUCAAUAUUCUUAGCAAGCAAUUUGAUCAGGAAGAAGGAAUAAAAUUAUACCUUACCUUGAAACAAGUAAAUCUUGAUUUAAGCAUUAAAGAUUGGUUUUGGCUUACUUUUAAGUGUUAUGUUUCUGCACACAUUUUGCAAGAUUUGUGCACAUGUCUGUCAAGUCGGUUCUUUUCAUAUGUUUUGAGGAGAAUAACUAACAAAAAGCUCUUCAUUUCCUAAGGACCACUGUCUUAGGAGAUGAUAAACAUCAGCCCAUAUUGAGAUUGCAGGAAACACAUUUAUGCUGCAUGAGAUGGAGGAAAGGUCGCUGCCAUAUAUGUGAGGUUCUCUGAUUUACCUCUCUGUUCAUAGGUUGGAUAAAACAUAUUUACAUUUUGUCCAGACCUUAGAGAUGUUUGAUCAGUUCUGUUCUCAAAGAUCUGACUGUAAAAGAUCUCAUGGGCCCUCUGGGGAAUUUAUCCCAAGUUUUUGCCAGGAAGGACAUUUGCUAAUAUCCAAGGAGGCUCUUCCAGGACAAGUCCUGGUUUGCCACAGGGAGGAUGGAAGACUCCCCAUUGGCUUCCCCUUUCUUUUGUGAGUAGCCACAAACAUCAACCUUGUGUUUACAGUGUGGUGACAUUUAGUGGGUCUUUGUACAAACUCUUUUACAGUGUGGUUUGGGUUUGUGUUUAGAUGUGAGAAUGGUGAGGAUGGGGUACCUUUUCCAUGUAGUGUGGUAGUCCUACAUAUUCCUUGAUUGCUGCAAGUUGCUUUAAAAAGGGGAAAAAAUGGAAGCAAAAGAAAGGUGUCUCCUUUUAUAUCAGCUAUUGGCCACACGGGACUUUGGUAGGAAGGAAAGAGUUAAUAAUAUUCUUAUCAGGUCAGCAACUUUGAAAGGCUCUUCCACUUUGAAAACCAUUUUCUUAAUUAUUUUAAGUUAACACUUAAAUGCAUAGAAAAAAAUCACGUGUAAUCUGAAACCCCAGACUUGGGGACAGGACUGGAUUGAGAUAACAUUAAAGAUUUUAUUGCUGUUACAUUAUAAAUUAUUUCUAUUAUGAUGGCCCUAUGGGUAUUACAUUCUGUCAGUUCGCUUUCACUGUUACAUCACUUAAUGUUAUUAACACACUUUAGGGUAUAACAUUACAGUUUUAUUGUGGAAAUCUUAAACACUUACAUCCAAAGUACUGAAUCAAGUUAUUAUCCUAGCUGACCAGAUCUGGUCUAUUAUCAUUUUAUCACUCAUAAAAACCUGUGAUUCAAUUUGAUUUAACACUUGAGGAAAAAUCAUGGCUCAUAUAUGCUUAAACCUAGUUGCAAUAUUAAUACAAAGCAACACAUGGAUGACUUCAUUUUAUUAAAGUUGAGGUAGCCCUGGGAACCGCAUUUAUGAUUUUAUGCCACAUGAGAAAUUUGAUCUGACCUGUUGCCAUUUGUGAUUCUCCAGUAAACUGAUAAGGUUUUCUCACCAGUAUAUUAAAGAAUUGUGAACGUUUUACCUUUCUUACUGCAUUCAUUAGACACUCAGAAACCAUAAAUUUAUCAUAAUGUUCUAACCAUGGAAAAAGGUGCUCUCCCUGUCUUGGAGUCCUGCCUUGUAGAUUGGUAAAUGUUGCCCCUUGGAAAGCAAACUGAGAUUAAUAUUAGAGCAAAAUAAGUCCUUUAUUUCUGUGCUUACAGUGUAAACACUUUUCUGUGCAAGACAACUCUGUGUAGUCCAACAAAGCUCUUUUACCCUUGCACAACAUUCGGAGGGAGAAGUUGAUCUACUGAAGUCACCGGUUGAACAUCGAUUUUGGUUUGUUGGCUUUGUUUGCUGCCACUCCCUGAAAUAUUUAAUAUCUUGCUCAGGUUAUCUGUUAUGUCCUUUGAGGAGAAGACCCAAGGACCAUGUGUGAAAUUCAAAAUGUCAAAACGAAACGUUUCAUAUGUUCCACUUCAGGGGAAGGGAGCAGACGAGGCAGUGCCAGCGUGGAAGAGCAGAGUGCUGAAUGACCUCAGCAAGGAGUUGUGCUGCUGCAGCCCCGUUCCCAGCAGAGCCAGGGGAAGGGCUUUGCACAUCCAGGAGUUCACGGGUGCAGUGACACUCCCGGGCACGAGGGUGGAUGUGCUGAACCCACCGGCCCCGCUCUGUGCCAUGCGCGCAAAAUCACCCUGGCAACAGGGCUGACAGCUUGGGAACAGCAGCUGCUGCUUAAUGAAAAACAUUAGAAAAAUAACUCAUUCUACAUCUCUGUCCUCUCUCUGUCUUCUCCUGUUUAUCACCAAAAAAAAAAAAAAGUGUUCUGUAGCCACCACCCAGAACUUUAAAAACCCUCAAGGUGUGAGGGUCGGACGCACAGGUGUGCAGGCAGAGGUGAGUUUCAAAAGCCAAAAAUAAAGUGACUGUUUAAUUCCAACUCACACAUUUUUUUUCUUAAGCCACAGCUAAAUUGCUUGCCACUGAGCAAGUGGGCCUAUGUGCAUCUUGUGGGAGCACUGGGAAUCUGCAGUUAUUUAUUCUUGCAUCAAACAUGCAACAAACAAGCAGCAAUGAGGCCAAAUGUGUGCUAAAUUCCAAAUCAGCAUUUUUGGUUAUUGCUGCUUGAAGUAUCUCUGUUUCUGCUCAGAGCUGGGCUCACUGGAAAGAAGUAGCUCAACAAAAGCAAACAACUGUCUCUGGUAAAAUCUUCCCCUUUAUAUUUUUUAAUAAUAACAAGUACUGAUUUCUCUUUUUUUUCUUCUGCUGGAAAUGUUCUGGAAAAGUCCAAUAAAGACAACUGUGAGGCAGCUUUCCUGGGUAAAAACCAAACCAAAGUAAUGCUACAUCACCAUGUGAAAUAACAAAUUAGGUGGAGAGACAUUAACUAGUGUCAUUCAUCAGCCUGAAGUGAUACAAUUUAUUACAGGAUAAUAAUGGCCAUAGUUGCAUAGGUAGUAAAGGUAAAAUUACAUCAUGACUUGCAUUAGCAGUAUGAGAUUAUAUCCUGAUUAAUGCACAAUUAACUUGUCAUGGGUACAACACAUGUGUUUGUAGAUGGCCAGAUGGGUUACACCACAUCUCACACUCACAUGGGCAGCAUUUAUCACUUUCUCCUUAUCUCCAGAAAUAAGGUGGCUGCAUCCCCUACAAUCCUCAGCCCCCUCACUGCCUUGGUGCAGAGCUGUCUAACAUCAGGGUAUGAGCAAGAAACCCUUGGAGAUGACCCAUGGAAAUCUCAAACAGCUGCAUGAACGCUGCUUCUUUCUGCAGAUGGAGACCUCGUCCAAGGAAAUUCCAAGGAAAUUCCCCAAGGUGAGAGCACCAACCUGAGCAGCCCCUCUGCUGGCAGGACCACUCAUCUGGGCUGCUCCCAGAGCUGGGGAUCACUCUGAGCUGAGAAAGCCCCCAACACCCUAAAGCACUCUGGAUGAGGAAUCCCUUCUCUCUUUUAUCCUCAUUUUGUGGAGGAAAUAAUUCAGCUACAAGAACAGCUGAGAAGGAUUUUUACUUUUAGUUGCAAGUAUUGGUGGAGGUGCUUCAACUUCACCUGAACUGCUCUGUGGGUGCAGAACUGGGUUACUUGUCCAUGUGCUGACAUGCAGGCUUGCUUUUUCAUGCUCUCCCUCCUUCUGUUGUGUUUUUUCUGCUGUGUGGCUGCAGGUCUGGCUGUGUGCAAACAUGAAUAAAGCAGCAAGGUGGCGGAAGGGAGACAAAGGGCCCCCAAGUUUUAAUCUCUGUUCCAUCACAAACUCAGUGUUUGUCCUUGAGAAACUCAUUGUAAUUUCUCUUACCAGAUUCCUCAGUCUGAAGGGGGAGGGAUAUUACAUUUUUAGGCCAGCCUACCUCACACUGUGUGUGAUAUUUCAAUUAGCUGUUUGAAGUUGUAAAUUGCUGAGUGAUGGCAGAACAGAACUUCUCAAAAUAAAUGGCAUCAGGUUUUUCUCUUUUUUUGCACACAUUUUUAGUAGUGGAGUCUACUGGAAAGGACUAUCUCACUUUGAUCCUUCCUGUACUUUAUUUUUAUGUUUGAUGGUACUCCCCAGUUCCAACACCAAAUGAUGGUCAUUUUCCAGCAUUUCCAAUUUAGAAGCAAAAUCUUAUACAAUAAGGAAAUAAAUCUAAUUUUGUUGCCAUGAAAUGUCUUUUCCAGCUGACAGUACUGAGCACUUGGAUGUGGGGCACCCAGCAGUGGGGAACAUGCAGAUUCUGAGUCCCAGGUGAGCGCAUCCUUAGUGUUCAAAAGAAAAAGGGAACCAUGUUAUGUUUGGGUUCAACUGUUAGAAUAUUAUAAAGUUCUUUAGAAUUACUUUAGAAGUUCUUUAGAAUUAGUUCUGUUGAAUGGAAUUUAGCAAAAAAAUUCCUAGCACACAUGCUUGUAUCAAACAGUUCCAGGACAGACAGUGCCAUUCAUCAUUUCCACCCCUGAUAUUUUUGAUUCUGGGAUGAUUAGCUCAGGAUCAUUUUAGAUGGUACUUCUCCUGUCUAGAGUACACACUUCACUCUGUAAUGUGCUAGGCAUCUAUUUUUGUUAUUAGCAAUUCACUUUAUUAUGCCCUGGUCUCCAUUUUCAGUGCAGUCUGGGAGAUGCCAUUGAUGAUGCUACAGAAAGGCAGCCCAGGCUUCAUUUACACAAGUAAAAAUGAAAAGUGACAUCAGCAUCUAUUGGAGCUGUAGGUUCUGAUAUAACAACAUUCAAAUAAGUUUUUACAACAGCAUUAAGUCUGUGUUUGAGUGCACCCUAGGUCUUAGACUAGCCUAGGAGAGAACAGAAUCUGGUGUUCUCCCUUUGACAUGUAGCAAAAAAACUCAUGUAUUAUUAAAAAUAAAAUUAUUCUCUUUCUUCAGGAGUGGUUUGUGUAUCUCUUGAAGUACUUCAGGAUGACAGAAGAGAGAGUUUCAAUUGCACCAGCUGAAAUAACUGACUUGCUCUUCAGUUGGAAAAGUGAAUUUAAGAUUCAAUGAUCACUGCUUACAAUGUCCAUUGGCAAAGACAGGAGGAAAACAUAAUUUCCUUUGUUAGCAAUCUCACUGGUAAAAGGAAAUGUCAAGCCUGAAAAUGUAAAUAGAGUAGACUUGGGGCAUGUUGAGAA